rnacentral:misc_RNA from 1 species
GUAGGUGAACCUGCGGAAGGAUCAUUAUUGAAUAAGCUUGGUUGGGUUGUUGCUGGUUCUCCAGAGCAUGUGCACGCCUGACAACCAACCUUUUUUUACCACCUGUGCACCUUUUGUAGACCUGGAUAUCUCUCGAGGAAACUCGGUUUUGAGGAUUGCCGUGCGCAAGCCGGCUUUCCUUACACUUCCGGUCUAUGUUUUUAUAUACCCCUACACAUGUUUUAGAAUGUCAUUAACGGGCUUAACUGCCUUUAAAAUCUAUACAACUUUCAACAACGGAUCUCUUGGCUCUC